GUUUAACGAUCCAAAUAUCAAAAUCAUGAUAAAUAUCAUUCAAGAUUCAUGAUUUAUAUCUCCACACAUGUAAAUUCAUCUUUCAAAAUAAUAAACAUCAAGAUUUCAUAAUAAUCAUCAUAAGAUAUGGAUUUAUUCUUCAAAUUCAUAAAGAAUCAAAUAAAAAUCAUGUCUUUGUAAAUAAAAUUACUUUUGGGCACAAGAACGAAAGAGAGUUCUUGUUGAAAAAUCC
rnacentral:lncRNA from 1 species